UUACUUCAAGAUUGAAAUUUUAAAUUUAGAAAAAUAUAGAGACAUGGAAUACUCAAUUAGAGUAAAUUGAUAAUUAAAUUUAAUCAAAUGAAUUUAAAUUUAAAAAAUAAAUAAGUAUAAAAACUAGGAUCCCUAGCAAAAUUUAACCUUUCCUUUUUGCUUUCUUUUUCGCCUUUGCCAUUGAUGGCGACCACUGGUAAGUUUCAACCAAUCCCAACUGGAUUCCACUAAUCCAACCACUACCUCAGCAUAUUCGACAUUUUCUCUAGACUAGAAUGAGUCAUGGAAAUAUGCUAAAAAUCUUAGUUACCCCAUUAAUAUUCUCUACUAAAUUUUACAUAACAUUAAAUCUUUUACCAAAAACAGAUGCCGGAGAAAUGAGAAUUUGUAUCAAACCAGAAGAUAAAAAAGAAAACGUUGAAAGAUCAAUGCCAUUAAAAUCUUUGUUUCUAUGUAUACUUCCAUCAAAGCAGGCUGAAAGGCAAAAUAGCAUUGAUCACUGGGGCAGCAAGCGGUAUCGGGAAGGCAGCUGCAGCGAAAUUCAUCAGUAAUGGUGCCAAAGUCGUCAUUGCUGAUAUACAACACCAACUAGGGCAAGCAACGGCGAAUGAGCUUGGACCCAAUGCUACUUUUAUACCCUGUGACGUAACGGAAGAAUCAGAUGUAUCCGAUGCUGUUGACUUUACCGUCUCCAAACACAAACGACUGGAUGUUAUGUACAAUAAUGCUGGGGUACCUUGCUACACGCCUCCGAGCAUUGUGGACCUUGACCUUGCCAUUUUCGACAGAGUUAUGGGCAUCAAUGUGCGAGGAGUCUUGGCCGGCAUCAAACACGCUUCGCGUGUGAUGAUCCCUAGUAGAACUGGCUCCAUUCUGUGCACAGCU
rnacentral:lncRNA from 1 species